rnacentral:rRNA from 1 species
ACGAACGCUGGCGGCGUGCUUAACACAUGCAAGUCGAACGGAAAGGCCCUGCUUGCAGGGUACUCGAGUGGCGAACGGGUGAGUAACACGUGGGUGAUCUGCCCUGCACUUCGUGAUAAGCCUGGGAAACUGGGUCUAAUACCGGAUAGGAGCCAUUUUUAGUGUGAUGGUUGGAAAGUUUUUUCGGUGUAGGAUGAGCUCGCGGCCUAUCAGCUUGUUGGUGGGGUAAUGGCCUACCAAGGCGGCGACGGGUAGCCGGCCUGAGAGGGUGGACGGCCACAUUGGGACUGAGAUACGGCCCAGACUCCUACGGGAGGCAGCAGUGGGGAAGAUUGCACAAUGGGCGCAAGCCUGAUGCAGCGACGCCGCGUGGGGGAGGACGGCCUUCGGGUUGUAAACGCCUUUCGCUAGGGACGAAGCUUUUUGUGACGGUACCUAGAGAAGAAGCACCGGCUAACUACGUG